ensembl:lncRNA
ACCAAGUUUUCUGAUAUAAAAGUAACGGAUGGAGCAGACUUCAAUCAUCGAGCUGAAUCAAUGCUCUUUCAAACGCUAGAGAAACAAAUGCCUUUUCAAAAUAAAAGAAGUUACUUGUAUGUUCCGUGAAAUUCAAUCACGCAGCGAUGGCCCGUGCAGCAUUUAAACGCCAUGGUAUCUUUAAAGCUCUUGUUAAUAUAGGUUCAAAACUCACCAUUUCAGAGCCACAUUCGACAUGACACGCAUACAACAGCGCACAAUGCAUGCUGUCGUGUGUAAAAACAGUCACUGCUUUCAUGUGCAUUUGUGCGCUGACGUCACCGUCGGAAAUACGUUAGGGAAAAGGGCAAAAUUGCCCCCAGGAUAUAAAGCUUUGCCCCAGAUAUUACUAGAAGAGAGGCAAAUCCAGUCUCUGUCGCCAUCUCAGGUUAAACAGACCAUCGAUAGAUGGAAGAUAGAUUGGGUCGGGGUGGAGGAAGACCACAAGAGAAACACCCGCAUUUUUGCGAGGCUCCCGAGGAACUUGAACUUGCCGACAACGAAUUGCCAACGUUGUUCUUCACCACCACCGGCGAGUUCUUUUGCUGACUUCAUCAAGGGGGCGAAAACUUUAAGAAGUACGUUUCCUUGACUCCGUGAAAACACGACGGCUUGCUAGCUAGCUAACGUUAGCUAACGUCGGACAGAGUGCAGACAGUGAGACGUUUCCUCUCCUCAUAACUUACUGCCAUCUUGUGGUUAACAGCCAAUCCUCUAUUUGGGUAAAAUAUAAUUAGUUAAGAUUGCAGUUGACUCGGGGUUUCAAGGUGUAAAUGUUCUGUUUCUUGUUUUUACAGAGCAAUCAGCUCUACAACGGAGCCGACUGUGGAAGCCGUGAAUCGGAGGGCUUUCUGGUUGAGUGCAGCUUUCUGUGUUGUUGACGGCGCACAACAGCACACGGUGGAUUCUCUUUGUGAGAAUCUUUGGUGUGAAAAAGAAAGGUCUCGAGUAGAAAAUGGAUCUCAUCACAGUUCUUGGAACCUUUUGUUUAAAAGAGGGCUCCAGAAAAAUGUGUAUUGUACACCCCAUUGGUUUGAUCAACAAUUUAUUGCAGAGGGAAAUGACCAAGCCUUCCCGCAGUGUCAAGAAAUGGAAAACUAAGCAGGAGAAUGCUUAAACUUCACUUCACAACUUUGCACCACCGGGUGUUAAGUCGAGGGAAAUGAUCGAGGACGAGCCAGUGUAGUAUGAACCGCACCAGCAUGUCUUGGAAUACAGGCUGACAGUGUUGUUCUUUCACGGUUUUAUCCUUUUACUACCCUCAGAGUGGACAUUUUUAAAUAGGUGGAUGCCCCUUUCAUGCCUGACUGAGGCUUUGAUAUUUUAAAAAUGAAUUACCUCCAGCGGCACACAAACCUUCUCGUCUCUUUUUCUCUCUGCCUCUGUCAUGAUGCUCAUAUUACAUGUUCCUCCUUUUGUAUCUUUUUUCCCCAGUGCUGCCUACAUUUCAUUAAAGAACCAAAUUCAUGCUAAGCCUUUAUAUUUAGUUAAAUGACAAUCCUGACUUGACAUCGGAGCAGAUUCAAUCAAAUUAGAGCCAAACCUUCCUCGCAUGUAAUGGUAAUUACAAAUUAAAGCUGUAAAGCACCAAUAUGGUUUGGCUAAAUGACUUCGAAUUUGAGUUCGGAAUGGUAAUUCAGGCAUCCUGGCCAGUUCAUUUAAUUAACCAAGCAGGCCAUCAGUCUUCAUAGCAGCAUGGUAACAAUAGGACAUCACACAGGCGGAUGGAUAUCAAGAUCGCUGAUUGAAGCCAGUGAGAAUAAUGGAAAGAUUUAAAUAAUGGAAGCUGUUCUUGCAUACUGAUAAAAUAAUAAUUCUCAGCCUUUUUAAUGCGGUGCCAAACCUGUUUGUGAGGUACGGAGAUUAUGAGGCUCACCGGUUUAUCGAAAGAUGGAGUUUAAGGAUUUGAUCUGGUCCACUGGGCUUAGUUGGCUCUCACCUCCAUGUUUUUGUCCAGUACAUUCAGCUUUUAGCUAUUGAGGGGACAUUUGCUUGACAUGGCAUUUAAUAAGAUGGGAGCAUUUUCAUUUCUGCAAGCUGCUCAACGAAAAGGAAUUUAGUCAUGUCGGUCAGCAACUGAGCGAAGGAGCGACUCUUACUACUAUUUAAGCUUAAGUAAAAAACAUUGCACCUAAAUGUGCUCCUUUGUAGACCAUACGCCCUGGCAAACUGACUGAUUGAGCAAAAAUCAGAAACCUUAUGUCAUGCCCUCAUA